rnacentral:ncRNA from 1 species
CUGGUUGAUCCUGCCAGUAGUUAUAUACAUAUAGUACACACGAAUUAAAAGUGAAACCGCAAAAGGCUCAUUAUAUCAGUUAUGGUUCCUUAGAUCGUUAACAGUUACUUGGAUAACUGUGGUAAUUCUAGACUAAUACAUGCAAUUAAAACAUGAACCUUUAUGGGACAUGUGCUUUUAUUAGGCUAAAACCAAGCGAUCGCAAGAUCGUUAUAUUGGUUGAACUCUAGAUAAUAUGCAGUUCGUAUGGUCAUGUACCGACGACAGAUCUUUCAAAUGUCUGCCCUAUCAACUUUUGAUGGUAGUAUCUAGGACUACCAUGGUUGCAACGGGUAACGGGGAAUCAGGGUUCGAUUCCGGAGAGGGAGCCUCAGAAACGGCUACCACAUCUAAGGAAGGCAGCAGGCGCGUAAAUUACCCACUCCCAGCUCGGGGAUACAGGACAAUACAGGACUCAUAUCCGAGGCCCUGUAAUUGGAAUGAGUACACUUUAAAUCCUUUAACAAGGACCAAUUGGAGGGCAAGUCUGGUGCCAGCAGCCGCGGUAAUUCCAGCUCCAAUAAU